rnacentral:rRNA from 1 species
AUUGAACGCUGGCGGCAUGCUUUACACAUGCAAGUCGAACGGUAACAGGCCGCAAGGUGCUGACGAGUGGCGAACGGGUGAGUAAUGCAUCGGAACGUGCCCAGUCGUGGGGGAUAACGCAGCGAAAGCUGUGCUAAUACCGCAUACGAUCUAUGGAUGAAAGCGGGGGAUCGCAAGACCUCGCGCGAUUGGAGCGGCCGAGAUCAGAUUAGUUAGUUGGUGGGGUAAAGGCCCACCAAGCCGACGAUCCGUAGCGGGUCUGAGAGGAUGAUCCGCCACACUGGGACUGAGACACGGCCCAGACUCCUACGGGAGGCAGCAGUGGGGAAUUUUGGACAAUGGGCGCAAGCCUGAUCCAGCCAUGCCGCGUGAGUGAAGAAGGCCUUCGGGUUGUAAAGCUCUUUCAGACGGAAAGAAAUCGGUGAGGUUAAUACCUUCACUGGAUGACGGUACCGUAAGAAGAAGCACCGGCUAACUACGUGCCAGCCGCCGCCGUAACAC